rnacentral:rRNA from 1 species
UACGAAGGGGGCUAGCGUUGUUCGGAAUUAUUGGGCGUAAAGGGCGCGUAGGCGGUUUGUUAAGUCAGCUGUGAAAGCCCCGGGCUUAACCUGGGAAUUGCGGUUGAAACUACAGGGCUAGAAUCUGGCAGAGGGGGGUGGAAUUCCACGUGUAGCAGUGAAAUGCGUAGAUAUCCGGAGGAACACCGGUGGCGAAGGCGGCUUCCUGGACCGACACUGACGCUGAGGCGCGAAAGCUAGGGGAGCAAACGGG